GGAGGGGUGGCCGAGCGGCUUAAGGCGGUGGUCUUGAAAACCACUGACCCGACAGGGUCCGGGGGUUCGAAUCCCUCCCCCUCCG
rnacentral:tRNA from 1 species